CCUACGGGCGACAGCAGUGGGGAAUAUUGCACAAUGGGGGAAACCCUGAUGCAGCGACGCCGCGUGAGUGAAGAAGUAUCUCGGUACGUAAAGCUCUAUCAGCAGGGAAGAAAAUGACGGUACCUGACUAAGAAGCCCCGGCUAACUACGGGCCAGCAGCCGCGGUAAUACGUAGGGGGCAAGCGUUAUCCGGAUUUACUGGGUGUAAAGGGAGCGUAGACGGCAGCACAAGUCUGGAGUGAAAUCCCGGGGCUUAACCCCGGAACUGCUUUGGAAACUGUGCGGCUGGAGUGCAGGAGGGGUAAGCGGAAUUCCUCGUGUAGCGGUGCCAUGCGUAGCUAUUAGGAGGCACACCGGUGGCGACGGCGGCUUACUGGACUGUACCUGACGUUGAGGCUCGAAAGCGUGGGGAGCAAACAGGAUUAGAUACCCUAGUAGUC
rnacentral:rRNA from 1 species